UACGUAGGGUGCGAGCGUUGUCCGGAAUUAUUGGGCGUAAAGAGCUCGUAGGCGGCUUGUCGCGUCGGAUGUGAAAGCCCGGGGCUUAACUCCGGGUCUGCAUUCGAUACGGGCAGGCUAGAGUUCGGUAGGGGAGAGCGGAAUUCCUGGUGUAGCGGUGAAAUGCGCAGAGAUCAGGAGGAACACCAGUGGCGAAGGCGGAUCUCUGGGCCGAUACUGACGCUGAGGAGCGAAAGCGUGGGGAGCGAACAGG
rnacentral:rRNA from 1 species